CGAACGAGACCUUCGGGUCUAGUGGCGCACGGGUGCGUAACGCGUGGGAAUCUGCCCUUGGGUUCGGGAUAACAGUUGGAAACGACUGCUAAUACCGGAUGAUGACUUCGGUCCAAAGAUUUAUCGCCCAGGGAUGAGCCCGCGUCGGAUUAGCUAGUUGGUGAGGUAAAGGCUCACCAAGGCGACGAUCCGUAGCUGGUCUGAGAGGAUGAUCAGCCACACUGGGACUGAGACACGGCCCAGACUCCUACGGGAGGCAGCAGUGGGGAAUAUUGGACAAUGGGCGAAAGCCUGAUCCAGCAAUGCCGCGUGAGUGAUGAAGGCCUUAGGGUUGUAAAGCUCUUUUACCCGGGAUGAUAAUGACAGUACCGGGAGAAUAAGCUCCGGCUAACUCCGUGCCAGCAGCCGCGGUAAUACGGAGGGAGCUAGCGUUG
rnacentral:rRNA from 1 species